rnacentral:rRNA from 1 species
UGGGGAAUAUUGCACAAUGGAGGGAACUCUGAUGCAGCGACGCCGCGUGAACGAAGAAGGCUUUCGAGUCGUAAAGUUCUUUUAUAUGGGAAGAUAAUGACGGUACCAUAAGAAAAAGCCCCGGCUAACUACGUGCCAGCAGCCGCGGUAAUACGUAGGGGGCUAGCGUUGUCCGGAAUCACUGGGCGUAAAGGGUUCGCAGGCGGAAAUGCAAGUCAGGUGUAAAAGGCAGUAGCUUAACUACUGUAAGCAUUUGAAACUGCAUAUCUUGAGAAGAGUAGAGGUAAGUGGAAUUUUUAGUGUAGCGGUGAAAUGCGUAGAUAUUAAAAAGAAUACCGCUGGCGAAGGCGGCUUACUGGGCUCAUUCUGACGCUGAGGAACGAAAGCGUGGGUAGCAAACAGG